rnacentral:rRNA from 1 species
GCUCAGGAUGAACGCUAGCUACAGGCUUAACACAUGCAAGUCGAGGGGAAACGACAUCGAAAGCUUGCUUUUGAUGGGCGUCGACCGGCGCACGGGUGAGUAACGCGUAUCCAACCUGCCCACCACUUGGGGAUAACCUUGCGAAAGUAAGACUAAUACCCAAUGAUAUCUCUAGAAGACAUCUGAAAGAGAUUAAAGAUUUAUCGGUGAUGGAUGGGGAUGCGUCUGAUUAGCUUGUUGGCGGGGUAACGGCCCACCAAGGCAACGAUCAGUAGGGGUUCUGAGAGGAAGGUCCCCCACAUUGGAACUGAGACACGGUCCAAACUCCUACGGGAGGCAGCAGUGAGGAAUAUUGGUCAAUGGACGAGAGUCUGAACCAGCCAAGUAGCGUGCAGGAUGACGGCCCUAUGGGUUGUAAACUGCUUUUAUAAGGGAAUAAAGUGAGUCUCGUGAGACUUUUUGCAUGUACCUUAUGAAUAAGGACCGGCUAAUUCCGUGCCAGCAGCCGCGGUAAUACGGAAGGUCCGGGCGUUAUCCGGAUUUAUUGGGUUUAAAGGGAGCGUAGGCCGGAGAUUAAGCGUGUUGUGAAAUGUAGACGCUCAACGUCUGCACUGCAGCGCGAACUGGUUUCCUUGAGUACGCACAAAGUGGGCGGAAUUCGUGGUGUAGCGGUGAAAUGCUUAGAUAUCACGAAGAACUCCGAUUGCGAAGGCAGCUCACUGGAGCGCAACUGACGCUGAAGCUCGAAAGUGCGGGUAUCGAACAGGAUUAGAUACCCUGGUAGUCCGCACGGUAAACGAUGGAUGCCCGCUGUUGGUCUGAAUAGGUCAGCGGCCAAGCGAAAGCAUUAAGCAUCCCACCUGGGGAGUACGCCGGCAA